rnacentral:tRNA from 1 species
GAAGUGCUUGGGUUAAGGGAGACCUCACAGGUUUUCAAAACCUGUGAGGUCUUUGGUUCUUUUACUGAAUCCCUUCC